rnacentral:lncRNA from 1 species
GGUUGCUGAUCUCUAUAAAUAAUUCACAUAGGAGAGAGUCUCUUCUAGUUGCUCACAGUCAUAUAAAGAUAUCCAGUCUCUACAAAACAUCUAUAUGAAGACUGACGCAGAUCAGGCUCCUUGGAAGUGCUAGCUUGCAAGGAUCUUCAAGGCUGAUUUCUCCCUUCUUCUUCACAAAUCUUGGAUGCCCCAAAGGAGAAGAAGACUUAGAGGAGGA